ACAUUACAAAUGUUGUAUGCAUGCUGCAAUUUAUGCUAUCGUGAAUAUCAAAGGAGAAAAGACCAAAUAUGAGUGAGAUGUCUGUACAAAUUCAAAUGUUUUCAGUUCCAACAGUGAUUAUCAAUUAAUUUAAUGUUAUGACGAAACUGGCAAAUCAGAAAUGCAGAAUUCAAUUCUAUUAAUUAAUUAAUUAAUUAAUUAAUAUAAAAAAAUAAGAAUUGUCCCUUUAAUGACUUCAUUAAGGCAUUACCAACAUGCUGCAUGAUGUUGCCUUUGAUUGAUCUAAACCCAAAUACUGAGAGGUAUCUGAUAGUCAGUCAAAAUAUAUACUCACAAAGCAAAGCCAAAGACGCUCUCGUGGUGUGGCUCUUAAAAGAGCCUUUGGGGUGUAUGUAGCUGCUGUUGACAAAAGAGGGAAAAGGGAGAAAGGACCAAAUAUGAGUAAAAUAUGUCUGUACAAAUUCAAAUGUUUUCAGUUCCAUCAGUGAUUAUUGAUUAAUAAAUAUGUUAUGACGAAACUGGCAAAUCAGAGAUGCAGAAUUCCAUUCUAGUCUAUUAAUUAAUUUAUUUAAAGAAGUAUCCUUUUAAUGUCUUCAUUAAGAUUAUAACUUGCCACAUUAAGUUGCUUUAAUUGAUAUAUUGAUCAGUUAGCAUGUUAUGAUGAAUCUGGCAAAUCAGUAGGUUGACUUACAACAAUCAGAUGGCAAUCAACACUGAGAAAAAAGAGAGAGAAGAGAAUAAAUUAUUUGCAUGGUAUAAAUUCUCAAAGUUUCUCAAAGGCUCUGAUGAAUACAUAAUCCACAUUAAGAUGCAUUUAGAAUAAUAACAACAAUACUACUACUACUACUACUAAUAAUAAUAAUGAUAACUAUUAUUGUUAUUAUUGUUAUAGUUGAACAAAAUGAGAGAUGAUCUAUUUCAUUAUAGAGGGUUUAUGAGUCUCUCUCUCUCUCUUUCGCUCUCGGUGCCAGCGUGUGUGAGAGAGAGAGUGAGAGGGAGCUCACGCGCUCGCAGUCAAACCUGUGACAACGCAAUAUUUUCCAUACAAAUUAAAGAUAUUAUGAAGCAUAGUUGUAUAACUUAUCUAUUUUCAAUGAACGUUAUCAUGACAGAUAACUCAAACGAAAGAGCGUCUCUCAAACGGAGCGUAUUGGCUCCAUUAGCAAUGACGUCGACACACCGAUGUAACCAACGUCUUCUCACUGACGUCACUCACUUCUAAAACUUGUCUGCCGCCAUCUUGAGUUACCUCAGGACGAAAAAAGACGCCAUCAACAGGGCAGACUGGACACCAACAGCAAACACUCGUCUGUGCAGUGCUCAUUUUUUCUGUGGUUUGAGAGUCCCACUUUGUUAAAUAUAAUUGAGCAACCAUAGGUGGCGAUAAGCACGCGAGCAGGCAUUGAGGCAAUGGAUGAAGAUGAGCCAGCUAGCUGCGCUGAACGCGAUCAUUGUUGAUGGUUGAGAGUGAGAUGUGCUUUGGAAAACCAUCAUUCUCUUCAAUGGCUUCACAAAAUUCCGACUGAAAAUUUACUGAACAAAGAGUGAAGUAGCAAAGGUAAGGUUUUAAACUUCAGUUCAGUGAUACUGAACAAUAACUCUUCUGUGGUGUACGAGGAGAGGAUGUACAAACUGCAAGUAAUGAUGGCGAGCCAACCCAGACUGUGGCUUUCAUCUUUGUUUCAAGUGUUCCUGCAAAGGCGACCUGUUACACAGCGGAUUCUCUGUAAACUGAUACCAAACAGUUGGAGUAUCCGGGAUCUGUUUUUAACUGAACAAGGCAUCGAUUUCUUCCAUUCUUCUACCAAUUUUUUUUUUCUGAACUGGAAAUCUUUUUUCUUCAACAUCUUCCUGAACUGAAUUGAAUUGUAUUCCACGACAAGAACAGAAAUUAAAUGGAAUUUAAGUACCACACAUUAUAAUUGUAUUUUCAUUUCAUGUACAGCAUAAAUUUUGUGUAUUGCUUGUCUGUCUAACAGUAAAGUGCUGACUGACGUCGGAAGUGCUGAGAACACACAUUAUAACUUCCUUCAACUGUCGGUCAUAGCGGGCUUGUGGGCAUCUUCUGAAAAAAAAAAAAUCUUAGAGAAAUGUUGCAAAAAAGUAUCCCAUAUAAUUUCAUUCUAGAAAGGCAUUUAUAUAAUAUAAUUGUAUGUAGUCUUACAAUUGAUUCCACUUAUGUUACAGUUAUCAGGUGAUGGAUUCAGCACUGUAAAAUUGCCAAGAAGUAUCUGCAAAUAAAUAUUAAG
ensembl:lncRNA